rnacentral:rRNA from 1 species
UACGGGGGGGGCAAGCGUUGUUCGGAAUUACUGGGCGUAAAGGGCUCGUAGGUGGCCAACUAAGUCAGACGUGAAAUCCCUCGGCUUAACCGGGGAACUGCGUCUGAUACUGGAUGGCUUGAGUUCGGGAGAGGGAUGCGGAAUUCCAGGUGUAGCGGUGAAAUGCGUAGAUAUCAGGAGGAACACCGGUGGCGAAGGCGGGUCUCUGGGCAACUACUGACGCUGAGGAGCGAAAGCGUGGGGAGCGAACAGG